rnacentral:rRNA from 1 species
AUGGGCGAAUGGGGGGGGUGCUAUACAUGCAGUCGAACGCGUUGGCCCAAUUGAUUGAUGGUGCUUGCACCUGAUUGAUUUUGGUCGCCAACGAGUGGCGGACGGGUGAGUAACACGUAGGUAACCUGCCCAGAAGCGGGGGACAACAUUUGGAAACAGAUGCUAAUACCGCAUAACAGCGUUGUUCGCAUGAACAACGCUUAAAAGAUGGCUUCUCGCUAUCACUUCUGGAUGGACCUGCGGUGCAUUAGCUUGUUGGUGGGGUAACGGCCUACCAAGGCGAUGAUGCAUAGCCGAGUUGAGAGACUGAUCGGCCACAAUGGGACUGAGACACGGCCCAUACUCCUACGGGAGGCAGCAGUAGGGAAUCUUCCACAAUGGGCGCAAGCCUGAUGGAGCAACACCGCGUGAGUGAAGAAGGGUUUCGGCUCGUAAAGCUCUGUUGUUAAAGAAGAACACGUAUGAGAGUAACUGUUCAUACGUUGACGGUAUUUAACCAGAAAGUCACGGCUAACUACGUGCCAGCAGCCGCGGUAAUACGUAGGUGGCAAGCGUUAUCCGGAUUUAUUGGGCGUAAAGAGAGUGCAGGCGGUUUUCUAAGUCUGAUGUGAAAGCCUUCGGCUUAACCGGAGAAGUGCAUCGGAAACUGGAUAACUUGAGUGCAGAAGAGGGUAGUGGAACUCCAUGUGUAGCGGUGGAAUGCGUAGAUAUAUGGAAGAACACCAGUGGCGAAGGCGGCUACCUGGUCUGCAACUGACGCUGAGACUCGAAAGCAUGGGUAGCGAACAGGAUUAGAUACCCUGGUAGUCCAUGCCGUAAACGAUGAGUGCUAGGUGUUGGAGGGUUUCCGCCCUUCAGUGCCGGAGCUAACGCAUUAAGCACUCCGCCUGGGGAGUACGACCGCAAGGUUGAAACUCAAAGGAAUUGACGGGGGCCCGCACAAGCGGUGGAGCAUGUGGUUUAAUUCGAAGCUACGCGAAGAACCUUACCAGGUCUUGACAUCUUGCGCCAACCCUAGAGAUAGGGCGUUUCCUUCGGGAACGCAAUGACAGGUGGUGCAUGGUCGUCGUCAGCUCGUGUCGUGAGAUGUUGGGUUAAGUCCCGCAACGAGCGCAACCCUUGUUACUAGUUGCCAGCAUUAAGUUGGGCACUCUAGUGAGACUGCCGGUGACAAACCGGAGGAAGGUGGGGACGACGUCAGAUCAUCAUGCCCCUUAUGACCUGGGCUACACACGUGCUACAAUGGACGGUACAACGAGUCGCGAACUCGCGAGGGCAAGCAAAUCUCUUAAAACCGUUCUCAGUUCGGACUGCAGGCUGCAACUCGCCUGCACGAAGUCGGAAUCGCUAGUAAUCGCGGAUCAGCAUGCCGCGGUGAAUACGUUCCCGGGCCUUGUACACACCGCCCGUCACACCAUGAGAGUUUGUAACACCCAAAGUCGGUGGGGUAACCUUUUAGGAGCCAGCCGCUAAGUGAACAAAAAUGGG